rnacentral:ncRNA from 1 species
ACUGUUCCCUGGGAUUGGCUUUGGGCCUUUCCUGCGCAGCUUAGGUGGAAGGCGAAGAAGGCCCCCUUCCGAGGGGUCCGAGCCAUCAGUGAGAUACCACUCUGGAAGAGCUAGAAUUCUAACCUUGUGUUAGGACCUACGGGCCAGGGACAGUCUCAGGUAGACAGUUUCUAUGGGGCGUAG